rnacentral:rRNA from 1 species
UGGGGAAUUUUGCACAAUGGGGGAAACCCUGAUGCAGCGACGCCGCGUGAUUUAGAAGGCCUUCGGGUUGUAAAAAUCUUUUCUAUGGGAAGAAAAUGACAGUACCAUAGGAAUAAGGACCGGCUAAUUACGUGCCAGCAGCCGCGGUAAUACGUAAGGUCCGAGCGUUGUCCGGAAUCAUUGGGCGUAAAGGGUACGUAGGCGGGUAAGCAAGUUAGAAGUGAAAUCCUAUAGCUAAACUAUAGUAAGCUUUUAAAACUGCUCAUCUUGAGGUAUGGAAGGAAAAGUGAAAUUCCUAGUGUAGCGGUGAAAUGAGCAGUUAUUAGGAGGAAUACCGUUGGCGAAGGCAACUUCCUGGCCAUAACCUGACGCUGGGGUACGAAAGCUUGGGUAGCAAACAG